ACGUAGACCCCGAAUUGGAGAUUUUCUGAUAUUAUAAAUUAGGGAUUUGGUGAUUUUAGAAUUUUAGGGAUCUUGAGGAUUUUUGAAAUUGGAGAUUUCAGGUGGUUUGAUAGUUGAUUUGGUAGAUUUGAUGAUUAUUUGUUCAUAUUUUGUUUAUUUCUAGGGUUUUGAUGGCCGAUUUGGAGGAUUUGAUGGUUAUGUAUUCAUGUUUUCUUGAACAAACAUGAUUUGUUGCUCAAAAUCAGUGUGACUAUCAAGCUGGUCAUCAAAAUGUGGGGUCCAUGAUUUGUACACUGGAUUGACAUGUUCUGCCACGUGGACGGUGGAUGAAUUGCCACAUAAUAGGAAAACUAUGGGGAGCUAGACAAUAUAACUAUGAUAGAUUAAAACCAUGGUGGAGCAGAAACAGGUACUCCCCACCAUUAACUCUCUCACAGUAAUUGUGGUGAGCCAGCAUGGGACACCGGCUGGGAUCUAAGCUGUUUAUUCAGGUAGGCCACAGUUUAUUGAACAGAUGGAUGGAUGAAAAAAUUGGCUGUGUUUUUCUAAGCCGUCCACCCGUUUUGCUGUUUAUUCAGGUGGCUCAUGGAUGUAACCUGCACACCACGGUAAGUCCCCAACCCAAACCUAAGAUGUGGGCACGCCGUGUUGUCUGUAUAGAAUCCCAAUCAUCGGGUUCUCCUUUAUGCUAGAGACAAUUCAGACAGACCCACAUAUCCGGUGGGUCAUACCACGUGGAACAAUGGAGAUGGGACGCCACCCAUAGGUUUGUAUGUGUGAUCACCAUGAUGUGUAUCCUUCAUCAAACCCGUUCAUCCAUUGUGACUCACCACAAUGAAGGGUCUAUAUAGAAGUUAGCUUGAUCCAAAGCUCAUGUAGGCCACAUUUCAAGAACUUAAAGAUUUUAGGGGCAAUUUUACAUUGAUUCCAUGGUGCAGGCCAUCCUAACUUUGUUUGAAUUUUUUUUUUAAAUUUUUUUCUAUCAUGCUUAUAUUAAAUACAGCAUGGUGGGCCUUGUAGAGGCUGUUUUACAUACCGUAUAGGAUUGGGUACUGCUCAUGUGACACUAAUGUGGUGGGAUUUGAUUGGUAGGUAAGCUUUUAUUGCAUAUAAUUUAUUUCCUUACAUAUUUUGUAAAAGAAGUAUUGUAGAUGAUUUACGUCCUUUGGUUAUAAGGAAUGUACCAGUUGAACAUAAUAGCUGUACUAAGUACCAUAGUGGCCGGUAGAGCUCAUGCACAUUAGCGAACAGAGACUGUUUGAAUAACAAAAUCCAUACAAUUGGUUUAUAGUUUUAAAAACUCUUAUUUUUCAAGUAGGCACAAAAACUCUUUUUACUGAACCAAGAUGUUUUCUCUGAAAAGAACAAUUUUGUUUGAAAUGGGCCACAAUUUUGCUGCUGGAGCUUUUAACUGGGCUGAAACCUUUUGACAGGUCUGGCAUGUCACCCUUGUAUGGUAUAUGUAUUUCACAGAUAGUCAGUCAUAUUGAAUCUAGUUUGUGAGGUUUUGUUGGCCGAUGGUGUUUUAAUUUAUUUUUUCUUUUGUUCCCUUUUUAACAAUAGUUCAUUCAGAUUGUUCAUUGUGACUUUAUCACGAUGUAAGAUUUUUUUGUUGUACUCUUACCUGUGUAAGUGCUCAUUAUGGCCUUUUAUAGGCAAACCAAUCUCAGUUUUGGAUGGAGUUUCAAUUGCUGUCAAGGAUGAGAUAGAUUGCAUGCCCUAUCCAACAAAGGUAUCGGACGGAUUCCUUCCCUUGUGAAUUCAUUAGAUUUUAUUCAGUUUCAAUUCUGUCCAUCUGCACAUUCCAUGUAUGCCCAAUUCAGGCUAUUCAUCAAGGUGAAUACGCCCUUUGUCAAGAACCAGGCUGCUUUGCUCUUCAGGUGGGCUGCACAAUGCGGUUUUGGGCUGCUAGGAGAGUGGAUCAGCCGGAUUUCUUUGGUCAAUGAAAGUUCAACCUGGGACCUGAUGAUGAACGGUCUUGAUCAUUCAUAUGUGUGCUAAGUUCUCAUGUGGAGCCCCUUAUGUUUGGCAUUUUCUGAUCGGCCUCUGCUCAUGUAGCAUUCCUUGUGCUUGAAUUGGUUGCUCGGUUAGCAUAAUAAGCUUCUGAGGAUUUUGCAGUUCUAGAGUUUGAUUGGAUGGUCCGGAGUUCUACGGGAACAAUGAUACUGGAGACGUAACUGGUGCAACUGCAGCAUUCCCUAAGUUGGAGACACCCAUUCAGUUGUGCUAAUCUAAAUGUGCAUUCUCAAAAUAUGACAUCUCUAUGCUUUAAAAUAGACAAUGGAAAGAUGUUGUGAAUGAUGGCAAUCAAUACUUCUCCAGUAUCCUUCCAUGAACAUUGAAAAGUCAUCACAUGCUUGUAUUUGUGAAUACUUUUUUUUUUUUUUUUUUGUUUUACCUCUGUAAUGUCCUUGAAUGAUUAAAGAUGCUCGGGUUGGUCAAGAUGAUUUGAGACAAACUCAUGCACAAAAACUUACCUAGGAGAACCCGGAGUGAUGGUGAAGAACGUGAUGGUGUAGACCUUCGUGAAAAGCUCUCACGGAUGGUUCAUGCUCCAUCAAGAAUUGAUGCAUGACAGCGCAUGCCUGAACCAAAGGCCACCAGUCUUUUGAGUCGAAUUCCUCCCACAAGAAGUGCAGAUGACUUGCUUCAGAUGGAGUUCUUAUACUUUGAUGAUAAAAAAUCUGGAGCAAGUGGUGACGAUGGUUUUGAACUCGUUCCAAGAUCCCCACCCUUGUGUGUGCUGGGCUGCUAUUAAUGCAAAUGGGCAAUUGUCUACAGAUUUGGGGCCAGACCUUCAAGUUCAGUAUCAUCAACGGGUGCUGCAUGCAUUAGCCUCAGCUAUGGACGAUUUCCAAAAUCCUCGAGUACAGGUAAGUGGGUUUCUGACAUUGUGUUUCAUACAUGAUAGAAAAUUGUCUGGUCAUCAUCUAUUUCUUUUUUAGUUGCAUUGAAAACUAUAUCAACCAAGGACGUGUCGAAAGUGCAGAUUGGAUGCCAUUGGCUGAUGUGGGAUUGAUAUAGGCUUAGGAGCCCAAUGAUUGUCACUUAAUGCCAAUGAUCUAGGGAAGGGGCCACUUCGAUAUCCAACACAAAAUAUGAAGUAUUUGUAAAAGAUCAUAUGAAAUCAGUGUUUAAACUAAACAUUCAACUAUUCACAAUUUCCAUCAAAUGAGGGUCAAUUUCCAGCAGUUAGAAAAUGAUUUUCAACUAGUGGAAUUUCCAGUUACUAGAUUUCAGUACUUAUAAGUAAACUUCCAGCAGUCAUGUCAAGUUUCAAAUAGUAAGAAGAACUGUUUAACAUGUGCUAGAUGAACUUGGAAGCUUGCGAGGUGAGAGAAGAACCUUCAACAUGAGAAGAC